rnacentral:tRNA from 1 species
AAGGGAGACCUAAUUCAGGUAUGGGACGAAAAAAAAGUAGUCGCUACCAAGAAUCAAUCCCAAAAGGUCGGAGCGAGGCGAAAUUGGCUUUCAAACUAGGUUCUGGGUUCACACAAGACCUGAAUCAGGAACAAGGGCUAUUAGCUCAGGUGGUUAGAGCGCACCCCUGAUAAGGGUGAGGUCCCUGGUUCGAGUCCAGGAUGGCCCACCUGCACAGGUGGUAAAAACAAGAGAAGCUCCGAAUCAGCACCUUAUCUUACUUAUAUAGUAAGAGAGAAUGCUGGCUCUGAGUUCAGAGUCCAGAGGAACCUUGAAAACUGCAUAGAGCUAGGUGAAAAAGCCAAAAAAGAAGACCGCAUGCAA